rnacentral:rRNA from 1 species
UGAUGACGAGACGCUAAGGCGUUGAAGCAGUGUAUGUCAGACUUCCAAGAAAAGCUCGCAAUGUCACAAAUAAAAAGUGCCUGUUCCAUAACCGACACAGGUGGGUAGGUAGAGUAUACUAAGGGGCGCGAGAUAACUCUCUCUAAGGAACUCGGCAAAAUGACUCCGUAACUUCGGGAGAAGGAGUGCCUUAUUUAUAAGGUUGCAAUAACAAGAUCCAAGCAACUGUUUAUCAAAAACACAGGUCUCCGCUAAGUCGUAAGACGAUGUAUGGGGGCUGACGCCUGCCCAGUGCCAGAAGGUUAAAGAAGUUGGUUAGUGUAUGCGAAGCUGAUGACUGAAGCCCUGGUGAACGGCGGCCGUAACGAUAACGGUCCUAAGGUAGCGAAAUUCCUUGUCGGGUAAGUUCCGACCCGCACGAAAGGCGUAAUGAUUUGGAUACUGUCUCGGAGAGAGGCUCGGUGAAAUAGACUUGUCUGUGAAGAUGCGGACUACCUGCACCAGGACAGAAAGACCCUAUGAAGCUUUACUGUAACUUGAAAUUGGAAUUGGACUUUGCUUGCGCAGUAUAGGUGGGAAGCGUUGGAAAUAUUCUUGCGGGAGUAUUGGAGCUAUCAGUGAGAUACCACUCUUGUAAUGUUAGAUUUCUAACUUUGAACCAUAAUCUGGUCAAAGAACAGUUUCAGGUGGGCAGUUUGACUGGGGCGGUCGCCUCCCAAAUGGUAACGGAGGCGUACAAAGGUUUCCUCUGAACGGAUAGAAAUCGUAUCUAGAGUGUAAAGGCAUAAGGAAGCUUGACUGUGAGACCUACAAGUCGAGCAGGGACGAAAGUCGGUCUUAGUGAUCUGACGGUACUGAGUGGAAAGGCCGUCACUCAACGGAUAAAAGUUACUCUAGGAUAACAGGCUGAUCUCCCCCAAGAGUUCACAUCGACGGGGAGGUUUGGCACCUCGAUGUCGGCUCAUCGCAUCCUGGGGCGGUAGUACGUCCCAAGGGUUGGGCUGUUCGCCCAUGAAAGCGGUACGCGAGCUGGGUUCAGAACGUCGUGAGACAGUUCGGUCCAUAUCCGGUGUAGGCGCUAGAAUAUUGAGAGGAGCCUUCUUUAGUACGAGAGGACCGAGAAGGACACACCGCUGGUGUACCAGUUAUCGUGCCAACGGUAAACGCUGGGUAGCUAUGUGUGGAGUGGAUAACCGCUGAAAGCAUCUAAGUGGGAAGCCCACCUCGAGAUGAG